AAGAACAAAAUUCGGGAGUAGAUCGGGGAAAAGAAAAAGUAAAGGACUAAAUUGUAAAGUUUAGUCACAUUUUGUAUCAAGUACUUAUCUAGUCACUCGGGGAUCGAAGGAAACGUCGGAGGCCGAUCACACUAUCAAAGAAAUAACUCGGUAUAAUUAGACGUUUUGUUUUGGGUGUGGCAUGUAUAGAAACUUAGCUAAUUUUGGUAUAAUAUGAACAAUGAAUGAUGUGUAAAUACUUGCUAGUGAUUAGCUAAUAAAAUAGCCGAUGAUAUACAUGUUUAAUAA